CGGCAACAGCUCAAAUUUGAAAUCUGGCCUUUGGCCCGAGCUGUAAUUUGUAGAGGAUGCUUUUGGUGCGGUGCCUUCCGAGUUCCCUGGAACGGGACGCCUUAGAGGGUGAGAACCCCGU
rnacentral:rRNA from 1 species